AACGAACGCUGGCGGCAGGCCUAACACAUGCAAGUCGAGCGAGGACUUCGGUCCUAGCGGCGGACGGGUGAGUAACGCGUGGGGACGUGCCCUUUGCUACGGAAUAGCCCCGGGAAACUGGGAGUAAUACCGUAUGUGCCCGAGAGGGGAAAGAUUUAUCGGCAAAGGAUCGGCCCGCGUUGGAUUAGGUAGUUGGUGGGGUAAUGGCCUACCAAGCCGACGAUCCAUAGCUGGUUUGAGAGGAUGAUCAGCCACACUGGGACUGAGACACGGCCCAGACUCCUACGGGAGGCAGCAGUGGGGAAUCUUAGACAAUGGGCGCAAGCCUGAUCUAGCCAUGCCGCGUGAGCGAUGAAGGCCUUAGGGUUGUAAAGCUCUUUCAGUGGGGAAGAUAAUGACGGUACCCACAGAAGAAGCCCCGGCUAACUCCGUGCCAGCAGCCGCCGUAAUAC
rnacentral:rRNA from 1 species